UACGUAGGGGGCUAGCGUUGUCCGGAAUCAUUGGGCGUAAAGCGCACGUAGGCGGCCCUGUAAGUCCGUUGUGAAAGUCAAAGGCUCAACCUUUGAAUGCCGAUGGAUACUGCAGGGCUAGAGUCCGGAAGAGGCGAGUGGAAUUCCAGGUGUAGCGGUGAAAUGCGUAGAUAUCUGGAGGAACACCGGUGGCGAAGGCGGCAUCCUGGACCAAUAUUGACGCUGAGGAGCGAAAGCCAGGGGAGCAAACGGG
rnacentral:rRNA from 1 species